CCCUUAGAUGGUCUGGGCGGCACGCGCGCUACAAUGAUGCAUUCAAAAAGUCUUCUGACCUUAGAAGGUUGGGUAUUGUCCAAAGUGCAUCGUGAUGGGAAUAGUUUAUUGCAAUUUUUAAUCUUGAACGAGGAAUUCCUAGUAAGUACAGGUCAUCAACUUGUGUUGAUUACGUCCCUGCCCUUUGUACACACCGCCCGUCGCUCCUACUGAUUGAGUGUCUCGGUGAAUUCUUUGAUCUUCUGUCGAUUCAGUUCACUGAUCCGACGGUGGAAAGUUGAAUGAACUUCGUCACUUAGAGGAGGGAGAAGUCGUAACA
rnacentral:rRNA from 1 species